rnacentral:ncRNA from 2 species
AUCGUGAGUUCUAUAUUUAUUCGUAUAAUAUCGGGGAUAUGGCCCGAAAGUUUCUACCAGACUGCCGUAAAUGGUCUGACUACGAAGGUGCAUGGACAUUUA